rnacentral:misc_RNA from 1 species
CCCUCCCCCCUCCACGCCCCCGGCCCGAGUCAGGCUCCCACCCCGCGUGUCUUCCGAACAGCACCGCGCUCGUCUCCGGCCCAAGGCAAGGCAGCCCAGCCCAGAAAAUUGGCUAAGUGAAGUCACCAGGUGAUGGCAUCCUAUGGUGUGCCUUGGGCAAAAACAGCGGCUCGGCAACGCGUCCGGGGCCAAAAACAGCAGGUCGGCCACGUGGUCCGUGAGCAGGCCAAGUCCCCAGAAAACCGGCUUUCGUACGCGUGACCGAUAUGCGCCCGGGGCAGUUCGCCCAGGCGGCAGGGCUGAAAACCAGCGGUUCGCCCAGACGUCGCAGCGGCUCGGCAUGGCGUCCGUGGACAGGCCAAGUCCCCCGGGCCGACGUCGCCCGGUGGGCGGAAACAGCGGUUUGCCCUAGCGCCAGGGCUCAAAACCAGCCGUUCGGCAAGGCGGUCCGUGGAAGACAGGCCAAGUCCCCGUGCCGACGGUGCUCGCGGGGCGGAAACAGUUGUUCGCCCUGGCGCCAGGGCCGAAAACCACCAGUUCGCCCAGGCGUCGGAGCUGAGAUGCAGUGGUUCAGCAGGGCGUCGCGCGGAGAGGCCAAGUCCCUGGGCCGACGGCGCCCGCGGGGCAGAAACAGCGGUUCGCCCUGGCGCCAGGGCCGAAAACCAGUAGUUCACCCUGGCGCCGGAGCUGAGACGCAGUGGUUCGGCAGGGCGUCCCGCGGAGAGGCCAAGUCCCGGGCUACGGGGCGUGCACACGACUUAGGUGCCACCGCACCAUACACCACUAGGGCUGAGCAUGCACCUACGGACUUGCGGCAAAGUGUGCGUGGUUGGAUGGAUGGAUGGGUGGGCGGUUGGCUAGAUGGAUUGGCGGGUGGAUGGCGAGGAACGCACCACGCAUGAUGGAUAUGCCUCAUGAGGUCAUGGGAGAAGGAGCAGCCCAAGUCCCUAGGAAAGCCGGCCUUCAUACGAGCGUCGAGGUGCACACGGCGUAGAAACUGCAGUUCGGCAUGGUGUCUAGGUGAAGGGCACGGUGAAAACGAGCCAAAAAGGGCGAAAACGACCCAAAAACGGGCCAAAACGGGCCACGGACGGCCUGCGGGUCCCCGGCCCACCGAGGUGGCCCACGGGGCCCAAGGGCCCCACCCAUGGUGGCCCCACCCAAAAAGUCCAAGGUUCGGUCCAUCCACGGAAAACGACUGUCGGGCGCCUCCGGGGCGGAAACCAGCGUUUCUGAGCAAAAACUAGCCAAAACUGCAUAUCACAUGGAUUUCCUGAGGUCCUCCAAAACGUGUGAAGGAACCAUACAGAAAACUGCAAGAACUCCUGCGGGGGCUGGAUGCCCCUCGGGUAUAUUAGGGGAGGAGGGUUCGGAUGGAGGAGACCUCGGGUGAAAUGGAAGAAAACCACAAGGUUUUUGAUUCCAUGUUUUCGUGAGGCUCCUCCAUAAAGUCGGUCACGCAUCCCCCGGCCUCCGUGGUGGGCCGACGACCGGCCGUGGCUAGCUUCGGCUGGCUGCAGCUGGUUGUUGGCUGGCCAUGGCUGGCUGGCAUGCGGCCUUCAGUGGCUGCAUGCUAGUGACCGCACUGGGAGAAGUUUCGGCGUCGCGUGACCUCCGUGGCUGGCUUGGGGCCUACGGCGGCCUGCUUUGGCGGGCUGCUAUGGGCCGCGGGCUGGCUCGGUGGGCAGCGUGUUGUUGGAACGACUCCCGGCCUCCCUGGCUGGCUGGCUGCCUACGGCGGCCUGCCUGGGUGGGCUGCUGCGGGCGACUGGCUGGCUGGGACAGCUAGCGUGUUGUUGGAACGGUUUCGGUGACUUGCGGCCUCCUUGGCCGGUCGGCAGCCUGCGGUGGCCUGCUUCGGCGGGCUGCUUUGGGUAGCUGGCUGGCUAGGGUGGCUAGCUUGUUGUUGGAACUGUUUUGAUGAUGCGCCGGCUUCCUGGCCGGGUGGAAGCCUGCGGUGGCCUGCUUUGGCGGGAUGCUGUGGGUAGCUGGCUGGCUGGGGUGGCCAACGUGUUGUUGGGAUUGUUUUGGUGACUCGCGGCCUCCCUGGACGGUCGGCAGCCUGUGGUGGCCUGCUUCUGUGGGCUGCUGUGGGCAGCUGGCUCCCAUGGGAGGAAGCUUGUUGCUGGAACGGUUUUGGCUGCACGGUUUCUUGUGUUGUUGGGAUCGUUUCGGUGACUCGUGUCCUCCCUAGACGGCCGGUAGCCUGCGGUGGCCUGCUUCUGCGGGCUGCUGUGGGCAGCUGGCUCCCAUGGGAGGAAGCUUGUUGCCGGAACGGUUUUGGCUGCACGGAUUCUCGUGUUGUUGGGAUUGUUUUGGUGACUCGUGGCCUCCCUAGACGGUCGGCAGCCUGCGGUGGCCUGCUUCUGCGGGCUGCUGUGGGCAGCUGGCUCCCAUGGGAGGAAGCUUGUUGCUAGAACGGUUUCGGCUGCACGGUUUUGGCCCGCUGUUGGAUAAGUUUCGGUUUCUCGUGUUGUUGGGAUUGUUUCGGUGACUCGUGGCCUCCUUGGACGGUCGGCAGCCUGCGGUGGCCUGCUUCUGCGGGCUGUUGCGGGCAGCUGGCUCCCAUGGGAGGAAGCUUGUUGCUGGAACGGUUUCGGCUGCACGGUUUUGGCCCGCUGUUGGAUAAGUUUCGGUUUCUCGUGUUGUUGGGAUUGUUUCGGUGACUCGUGGCCUCCUUGGACGGCCGGCAGCCUGCGGUGGCCUGCUUCUGCGGGCUGUUGCGGGCAGCUGGCUCCCAUGGGAGGAAGCUUGUUGCUGGAAUGGUUUCGGCUGCACGGUUUUGGCCCGCUGUUGGAUAAGUUUCGGUUUCUCUCGCGCUCUGUGGACCCUCGGUUGCCGUCCUCGCAAGCAGACUCACCGUGCCUAGCGCGGAGGGAUGCUUUGGAUGGCUUAAUCGUCGUGGCUACGCUGGCGCAUGAGUUGUUUUGGACCUGUGACUGCUUGGAGGACCCCCGUCGGUGUGCGGCCGACUCCUAGCGCCAGCGUCCCUUCAUUCGUGCGGGCACCUUUUGCCUACUGCAUUGACGAGUGCUUGCGUGCUGCUACCUGUCCCACGGGAAGUUGCGUUCGGUUACAUGUUGCCUUUGUUGAGCGCACCCUCUGGGUGUGGCUCGUCGGCUCUAGAGCACUUGCGGCGUUACCUCGUGAUGUCGUCCUCCUAGGGUGGCACCGCCAAGGACACCUCGCUUGUGCAUUUGGUUGCGGAUGCGGCUGAUGCCGAAGGCCGGAGGGCGUUGGCCUCCCGUGCCUAAAAAUCGAGUCCGUUUGGAAACAACGACAGCCAGCCCGGCCGAUGCCUCGUGCGGAGGUCGGCGCCGGCUCGUCGGUGAGGACGUGC